AGCUACCACGGCGACAACUGCAGCACCCACCACGGCGACAGGUGCAGCUUCUACAACAUCAAAAGCAGCUCCAACAAUGACAACUGCAGAUCCUGCAACAAUAUUUGUUGCUCUUACGACCAAUACAGCAGGAACACCUACAGCAACAACUGUAGCUCCUUCAACAAUAAUAUCUGUAGCUCCUACAACAACAACUACUUCAACUGAAGCUCCGACAACCACACCUACUACGAAGGCUACAACUGAAGCUCCUACAACCUCCACAACAGCAACACCUUCAACAACAACUGCAGCUCCUAUGACAACUGCAGCUCCUACGACAACAACUGUAUCUCUUUACCACUAAAACUGCAGUACCUACUACAGCUCCUACUACAACUGUAGCCCCUACUACAGCAACACCUGCAACAACAACUGCAGCUCCUACAACAACUGCAGCUCCUACGACAACAACUGUAUCUCUUUUUACCACUAAAACUGCAGUACCUACUACAGCUCCUACUACAACUGUAGCCCCUACUACAGCCACAACAGCAACACCAUCGAAAGCCAUUGCAGCUCUUACUACAACAGCUGUAUAUACCACAACAAAUACAACUGGAGCACCUGCUACAGAAACUACAAUUGCACCAACUACGACAACCACAACCUCUCCUACUAUCAACAGCAUCAUAGAAGCUCCUACUUCCACAACCAUAACUGAAGCUUCUAUAACCACCACAACUGUAUCUUCUACUAUGACAACCACAACUUCAGCUGCCAUAAUGAACACUACAUAUGCAGCUCCAACAAUGGCAACUCCAGCUCUUACAACCACCACCACCACCGUAGCUUCUAGCAUGGCAAUUCAACCUGCAGGUCCUACAACAACGACCACAACUGUUUCUCCAACAAUGACUACAACACCUACAAGUACAACCACAAUUGUACUUCCAACUUUUACCUCAACUUCUAUGGCUUCAGUGACAUCAACAACCAGAUUUGGCACAGUGAUGGUUUUUGUUAGGCUGGUGUUCCAGCUCAACACACCAGUCCCCACUGAGGAGGAUGUCCUUGGUGUCAUCAACAAGCAACUGUCUCGCCAAUUGAACAUUCAGAGAAACACUCAAACCACCUUCCAGAAUGCAACUUAUAUCAAACUUACACAUACUUCAUUUGCCAUCGAUCUUGGUUUCAAAAUAACCAAUGUCACCAUGGAUUCUCGAAGAGAUAGACUCACAUUCACCAGUGAGACCUACAACAAGAUACAGGAUUCAAUUAACAGCCUACUCAAUGAUAUUCUUAGUAAACCAGAUGGCAAACAAUUUGUCUUUCCCAAUGCCAACUUUACUAUUGUUGGCACUCAAAUCAGGGCAGACAUGAUGUAUGUAUACAAAGAGGAAGACAUCAAUUUCCCUAGUGCUUUUCUAGAGGAAGUCUUAAAAGUCUCAGGUCUCCUAACAACCACGGUUACCCCAACAACUACCAGCACCACACCACUUCCUACCCUUUUGCUGACCACUACUUUCAAUACCACAAGUGAUGGAGGUUUUCCUGGCUGGGCUCUGGCCAUUAUCAUCCCUUGUGGCAUCGCUA
rnacentral:lncRNA from 1 species